rnacentral:rRNA from 1 species
UACGAAGGGGGCUAGCGUUGUUCGGAAUUACUGGGCGUAAAGGGCGCGUAGGCGGUGUGUCAAGUCAGGCGUGAAAGCCCCGGGCUCAACCCGGGAACCGCGCUUGAGACUGGCACGCUAGAGUUCGGGAGAGGAUGGUGGAAUUCCCAGUGUAGAGGUGAAAUUCGUAGAUAUUGGGAAGAACACCGAUGGCGAAGGCAGCCAUCUGGACCGACACUGACGCUGAGGCGCGAAAGCGUGGGGAGCAAACAGG